GGCGAAGAGGUCACACCCGUUCCCAUGCCGAACACGGAAGUUAAGCUCUUCAGCGCCGAUGGUAGUUGGGGGAUUCCCCCUGUGAGAGUAGGACGUUGCCAGGC
rnacentral:rRNA from 1 species